UUAAUUAGACAAUAUCAUAAUUAAAUAGCAACUACUUCUACAUAAAUUUUAAUGGAACAUUACCCCCAUUAACUUUCGUGUAAUCAACAGUUCUAAAAAAAAAGGGAAGAAUGAUUAGUAGUCAUUAAUACAAAGUGGAAGAUGAAAACACAUCUAAUCAAUCACAAAGAAAAAAAAAAAAAACUUCUCUUUCUCCUUCUUCAAUUCGCUCCCAACUUCCCAUUAAAAAAAACAAAACUUCUGCUUCUUCAUAGAUGGAAAAAUUGUUGAAAUCUGCAACACUCUCCCAACAUCAUCGUAACAUUAACACAUCAAGAACGAUAAGUAAUUCUAUCUACCUCUAUC
rnacentral:lncRNA from 1 species